CAUGCCGUAAACGUUGGGCACUAGGUGUGGGGGACAUUCCACGUUUUCCGCGCCGUAGCUAACGCAUUAAGUGCCCCGCCUGGGGAGUACGGCCGCAAGGCUAAAACUCAAAGGAAUUGACGGGGGCCCGCACAAGCGGCGGAGCAUGCUGAUUAAUUCGAUGCAACGCGAAGAACCUUACCAAGGCUUGACAUGCACUGGACGGCUGCAGAGAUGUGGCUUUCUUUGGACUGGUGCACAGGUGG
rnacentral:rRNA from 1 species